UUACUAAUCAAGUAGUGAUAUAGUAUCAACAAGCUAAGAGUGAUCUAGCAACUUUCCUCAAACCCAUACAAAAAGAAACUAGUAUUAUCAAUGAGAUCAUUUUUCUAACACAUUAUGAUAAAGAUCAAGGAGUAGCCAAUUUUUAUAUACAUGUAUCAUGUCAAUAAUGUGAUGCAAACUCAAUGACUAUUUCAUGUAUGCCAAUAAUCGGGGACUUCAUACAUGAAAGCUCAUUUCUUCUGCAACCAGCGCAAACAGAGGCCCAAUCUCUUUCAUCGUGGCUAUAAAUACAGAAUCCCCAAAUCGGAAAAACCCAGAACCCCAGAGGAGGAGGUGGAAUGCCGCCGCAGAACCCUAACCAGCAGCAGCAGCAGCAGCAACAGUGAAUAUUCGGUACUUGUUUGUUUAGUUUGAUUCCGGAUGUGUUUGUGCAUGAUGAUGAGCUAUACAACUUACUUCUGCGUGCACAUGCUUACUUGAUCAUUGGGCGAAUUUGGAGUUGUCAGUCGAAUUUUCUUAAUAAAUUGGUGAACUUGGAAAUGUUCUUGCAAUUUCUAUAUCUUAAGUAGUAGCUAUGCAAUCUAGAAUUACAUGGGUUUUAUAUUUUUGUGAAGGAAUGGAAUCAGUAGGAUCUUGCCAGUUGCUAUUAAGCUGAUUGAAAAAGAACAUUGAAACGACAUAAAACUACCUAUCCUCACUUACCAAUAUGUACAGUAUCUGCUACAGUUAUGUUUUUCACAAGAUGAACAAUGUCUAAAACGGGGUUUAAAGUUUCCCUAAGGUGUUAGAAAUGAAGAAAUACAAAGACUGAUUUUGCUUGUUGCCAUUAGAAGUUUAAACCAUACAUCUCAAAUAGACCAGGUUCCCCUUAAGCUGGACUUCCAGAACUCUUGGUGUAGAUUCUGAGCAAUUUCACUUGAAAGUUAUAUUAUUCAUUCUGUGGGUUGUUGGCUUGUUGUAUAUUUCAAGUAGUCACGCUUGAAAAUUGGAUGCAUGUAGUGAUCUAUGCUAAAUUCAGUUACCUUCACAUAAAUUAAAGUUAAUCUGUGUAGCUAGAUUUUGCAUUGUACGACACAGUUUGACUUCAUAUAUUUUGAGUCCCAGAAAGAUUGAGCGCAUUAAUUUGAGAAAUGACCCCUUCAACCAUUCAGUGCAUUAUAUCUUAGUUUAUGAUUUUGUCAUCUUCACUUUUGGCAUGUUUUCCGAUCUUCCAUGGGCGAGAGAUGAAGUAUCUGUAUCUUGCAACUUCAUCUGAGCAUGCGUCUCUUGAAUACUCUUAUGAGCACCCUUGGAGACCUGAUAUUGCGUGCAAGUUAGUUCUCUAGGAAGUACUAUUUCUUGAACAUUGAAUGUGAUUACGGCAUUUAAGCUAGUAAGUGUCCAUAAAAGUUCCAGAAUUUUGCAGGUAAGCUUAUUCAGUAUUCACAAUAUGCCUGCAUGUCCAACCAAGAGGACUGUCAAACUAUGCCAAUUGUUAGUUUCCUGCAUAAGUGUACUUUGAUGCUAUCUGAAAUUCAGAAUGAGAUGAGGCAUCUUCAGUAUUCAUGCUCUUUUUAUUGUAAAGAAAUGGAAGCAGCUUUCACAUUAUCUUAUCUGCUCGAAUAAGACCCUGUUUGUUUCAGGGAAUGAUGCUGGUGGAAAAGGAAAGUCUUUCCUUUCCGUUGUUUGGAAUCGCAAGAAAAUAAGAGGGAAAGGAAAUUGCUUCCCGGCUGAUGGGAAAAUUAAGCGGAAUUUCCUUCCCUCCACCCAACCCCAGGAUUUAUUUUCCCUCACAAAAUCCUGCAAUCAUUGCACUUCUUUUUGACUAAACUGUCCUUGCUCUAAAUUUCAUCUUCCAGUUUUAACCAUGCCUUUAUAAAUCUGUAACCUAACACAGACAGACAAACUAAACCACUUCCAAACGCAGACCGGAGAAGAACUGAAGUAUUUCCAUUUGAUAUUCCUCUAUCUAUCAGUUUCCUCUCACAGCAACCGCAAGGUAUGAACUAUGAACCAUAUAUACGAUUUCUUCUUCUUCUCUCAAUACAAUACGGUUCAGUACAUAUGGUGUUUCAUGUUGAUCCAUCCCUUUCUUAAUUUCUUGUUUAUUUAUAUCUGUAUAUAAUCACUCUGUGGGUAUUGUUAUUUUGUUUGGAUUGUUUUCUCUUUUGAAAGAGACAGAGAAGAGGUUUUGCUUUUUGGGAGGUGAGGAAUACUCAUUUUCGUUGUAGGCUGCUUUUGUUAUGUAUGGAACUUUCUUCUGUUUUUAAGUGUUUGUACUUGGUUGUAGGAGUAUGAAACUUAUUUUGUUUAUUUGAUGCGUGCUUGUUCUAUAGUUCUUCUUCAAUGUUGAAACAGUUUAACGAUCAAAUAGUCUGUAGAAUGAGUGCUAAUUCACUGAUAUUGAUGUCUUUACCAUUAUGUCAAUAUAUAAUUCUACGGACAUACAAGUACUAGUCGAGUGAUAUACUGAUAUAAGCCAUCAUUUGAAAGAUAAUGAUGCAUCCUUAAAUAAACAUAAUACCAUUGAACUAAUUGAAGGAUGAAGAUCGAGGUCUGGUUUUGUGCUUGUCGUUAUUGGUGUCAUCUCUCUGUGCAAAAAUUGUAUAUAUUCAAUCUAUUGUGAUGCUUUUCAGAUUCUAUUUUCUAUGUGUGGCCUCGUUAUAGAUUCAGUUGUGUGGCCUUGUUAUAGAUAUGUUAGUUUAUUCAUCUUGAUAGAUUCAGUUGUUAUAGAUAUGUCAGUUUUUCAGCUAGUUUAGAUUGCUAUGUGUGGCCUUGUUAUAGAUUCAGUUUUGUUGCUUUUCAUGAUUCUAUUUUGUAUAGACUGAGUCUAUCAAAUAAGUAGAGAGAAUUGCAUAAAAUCUAUUUCACAUCUCACUGUUUCUUUUGUGUAGGAUGGAUUCGCAAGCAAACUUGUCAAGAUCCUCAGCUACUAGAAGUGAAAGAAGUACUUUUGAAUGAGCAUGCAACAUCCACAAAAAGAGGUAAGCUUGCAGAUGAGCUUAUGAAAAUUGAAGGUUUGAAUGAUUAUGAUGUGCUUGAUGUUGCUGCUGCAAUUAUUGGUGAUGAUUCUAAAAUUGAACUUUUCUCAGCCUACUUGACAAUUUAAAGGGCCAAUGGAUUUACAGGACUCUUAACCAGUAGAGGAAUGGAUUCUCAAGACUAAUGUUGGCCUCAAAGCUUUUGUUAAUAUUUUGGAGUGUAGUGAUGGCUCAGCAUUAUAUUUUGAUCAAACUCUUGUAGAUGCUAAAAUGUGAUGUGAAUUUUAAUUCUGUUA
rnacentral:lncRNA from 1 species